UAAACUGUUUUUGAAAUCCUUGGCGCGGAACGUCUGGAACAGUGGCGGCUCGCAUUAAAACCCGAUACGUUUGUUGCAAAAUCUGAACGGUCGGUGCAAGGAAGGCGUCCUGUUUAAACCGCGACGAGUUUAAAAGGCGAAAGAUUUACGGCGGGAUUAAUGUUUGAUGUCACGUAGCCAGCGGAGAGCGCCCGCCGUCUGAUAAGGUCUUAGCUAACGACAAGAAAGACGGGGCCAUGGAGGAGGUGCUGGGGAACAAAUCUCUGCUCUGCAGCGUAGGACAGCUGUGAAUCAUGUGUCAUAUUUAUAUGCACCAAUGCACGCUUUAACAGGAAACGUGUCUUUGGCGGUGGAAAAUAAAGAGGUGUUGAUCGAGGCUGGAAUACCAAGCAGCUGACCCAGAACCGACAGUGUCCUCAACAGUCACCACAUCUCAGUGAGUUUUGGUAAUUUUGCUGAAGGCAAAUGUCUUUGUGAAUUUUCACCACUAAAGUACAAUGUCAAGUAAUGCAGGUCCGGCACUGUUAGGUGAUUCUGUGGCCCUGUGCCGUGGAUGGACCAGGUACUGGCCAUUAUUCCAGCAGAGGAGUGCUGCUUGAUCUCCUGACCUCCACGCUGUGCUGUGCUUAACGGAACAUGGAGGGAGGUGACAGCACAUACACAAAGUACAGCUGGUAGAUUUGCUGUGUUUAUGGGCCCAGCACCAAAUUGUUGUCCUCCUGAGCUGCUGAUUUCUCUCUUGCUCAAUCCCACAACACAAGGUGACAUGUUCAAAUGCUUUAAUCUGACCGACAGUUCAAAACCCUCACACCUUUAGUUUACUGUCACAAAAAAAGACAAGAAAAGAAAAGAAAAGCUACAGUCACUCACACUGGAGAAACUGGAACCAGCCCAUGUAUGGAAUUUUCCUUGAAAAACAAUGCACCAAUAAAAAACUGUUGCGUAUUAA